AUGAUGAGUAAUAGAGUGUUUGCGUUUCUUCUGCUGCUGUUGGCACUGGUGACUUACGGCGGGAUAUCCGUCGAUGCCCAGGGUGAAGCCCAAGUCAUUGAAGUGUUCCAAGAAGCUGACGCUAUCCCAUCACCAGAGGAGCAGGAGGCUAACGGUCGGACAUUCGGCCCGUUCCGCAAUUUCGACGCGCUUACCUACAAAGAAAAUUUGCUGCACAACAAAAUCAGUUUUCUCUUCUCGCUCGUACCUCGUCCAAAUGCACAACAAUGGAAUCGCCCACCUUACGCCGGCGGAUUCGGGUCAAAUCCGUACCAGCAAGGAGCUUUCCCACCAGGAUAUCCAGCCCAAUUUCCACCAGGAGGCGGAGGAGGGUUUCAUCCACCUCAUCCUCAAUUUGGAGGUGGCGGAGGAAUGAUUCCGGGACAGGGAUUCUACCCCGGUGUUGGAUCCGGACAAGGAUUCUAUCCCGGUGUUGGUUUGAAUAAUCCUUACUAUCCAGGAAUGUUACCUGGUGCUGGCUAUCCGGGAAUAGGGCCAGGUUUCUUUCCGCCGGGGAUUCUUCCUGUUAUAGCGGAGAAUAACAACACCAAUCCAUCCGGAAUAGCCGGAGGAGGAGGGAAUAAGCCCCCACCUUCAGCGUCCGCCUCGGUCGCUUCAGCGGCGCCAGUGGCUUCAACGGCCGCUCCAACAACUGCAGCUGCCGCAUCCGGCGGGGAAGAUGCAGCUCCUGCGGAAGAGGAGGAAACUAAUCGCCAUAAAAUCAUUAAAAUGAUGCCGAAAUCUUUCAAAAUGAAUUGACUAUACGUAGCAGAGAUCGUAAGCGUUUUUCAGCACUGACGUGAAAAUGGUGACAAUGUAAAUAUGAAAAUGGUGAUAAUGUAAAUAGUUGAACGAAAUGGACACAAAAUAGUACAGCAAAACAAUUAAAGCGUCAAUUUUUCAAAUGUCAUUCAACACGUUAAAUAUUUUCCAAAUGAGUUAAGUGAAGCCAUACAUUCUGCGUCGGCAUAAUGUAACUACUUUAUCGCUAGAUUAAUUUUCUUAUCGUGCUAACAAGUAGUUAAAUUCCUGUUUUACUAUCGUAUUUUAUAAUAUGCACUAAUAUAAGUUUCGUACCGUUUGUGUUAUUUAUUAGGUGGAAAUAGAGAAUUUUUCCAA